rnacentral:piRNA from 1 species
UCGCAGAUGCUCUGGAGGAAGACCUG